GCGGACGUGGCCGAGUGGUUAAGACGAUUGACUAGAAAUCAAUUGGGCUCUGCCCGCGUAGGUUCGAAUCCUACCGUUCGCG
rnacentral:tRNA from 1 species